UUGAAAGGGAAACGAUUGAAGUCAGUCGUACCUAUGGGUAAUCAGCCUUUUGGGUGUGAUUUUGUGGAGCGUGAGGAGUUAAACGCCUUCAUGCCUGCAUAUUCGUGCACUUUGGGUGUACUUGCCCGUAUGGUUGGUUAACAUCAAUUUUGGUGGUCAUAAAAUGACUGGAGGAAUGUAGCUUCGAUCUUGUAUUGAAGUGUUAUAGCCUUCGGUAGAUGUGAUGACCGAGAUUGAGGAUUGCAACGGAUACCCUUCGGGGCUACCUGUCUGAUCUCUGAUCGUUGCUCUGGUGCCGAAAGCUUGCUUACGGUUAUCAAAGUCAAUGGUCAAUAGGUUAGAACGGGUUAAAUUCGUUAAGGAUGUUGACGUA
rnacentral:rRNA from 1 species